GUUUAAUUAGUUUAAAAAAAAUAAUGAUUUGUGAUAUCAUAGUUAAUUGUAAUUAUUAGGCA
rnacentral:tRNA from 1 species